GCAACUUUACACUACCACGAGGUGAGUUGCAGAGUUGGAGACAAGAAGGCAGUAAUGGAGUAUGAUGCUGCAAGUUGUAUUGCAGUCCUCUUGGUUAAUAGAUAGUUUUAAUUAGUGAAAGGCUGUUAUGAUUGACUGAACACGAUGGAAUCAAUCAGGCAGCAGCUGCAAGUAUUGCAUUGAUGAGGUUAUGAAAUGAUUCGAAAGUUUUAGGUGUCUGUUGAUUUUGAUGCAUUUCAGUGUCCUAAUUAGCUUUGACAAGAGAUUAAUCAGGUGAUUGGCAAUGCAAUGGUCCACAUAACAUGCAAGAAGAAUACUACUGAACUUAUGAAAAAACAGGAAGUGCUUCUUAUGAUGUAUGUGACAGAGAGAGAUUGUUAUCAUUGCUCUAGUUUGUAUGAUUUCCCUCCCAUGUGACUGAAAUUCCUCAUUUCUUACAUAAUGCAUCUAGUUUUGACAAUGCAUGACCACUGCUAAUGGAAAUUUAACCUCUGCUAAUGGAGUGCUCCUCCUAUGGCUGCUAAUGGAUGGAAACUUUCACUGAUACAUUAUCUAUUUUUAGAUAUGUCGGGAAUGAAAAGAUAUUUAUAUAGCAAAGGAAAGGACAAUGAAACUUGAUUAUUUUUAGUAUUGAAUGCUCUUUCAUUUUUUUGAGUUUUAAUUUUAAUAGUUUGAGUUUCACAGAAAGUUUUAUCAAUGUCA